rnacentral:siRNA from 1 species
UGGGCCUGCGUGCCUGUUGUAUGGCC